rnacentral:rRNA from 1 species
CCCUUAGAUGUCCGGGGCUGCACGCGCGCUACACUGAAGGAAUCAGCGUGCUAAAACCAUUGUCGAAAGGCAUUGGUAAACCCAUUAAAAUCCUACGUGAUUGGGAUCGGGAAUUGCAAUUAUUUCCCUUGAACGAGGAAUUCCCAGUAAGUGUGGGUCAUAAGCUCGCGUUGAUUACGUCCCUGCCCUUUGUACACACCGCCCGUCGCUGUCCGGGACUGAGCCGUUUCGAGAAAAGCGGGGACUGCUGCUGUCGGGGCUUUCGGGCCUUGGCUUCGGUGGAAACCGCUUUAAUCGCAGUGGCUUGAACCGGGCAAAAGUCGUAACA